rnacentral:rRNA from 1 species
UACGUAGGGGGCAAGCGUUAUCCGGAUUUACUGGGUGUAAAGGGAGCGUAGACGGCGCGGCAAGUCUGAAGUGAAAGGCAGGGGCUUAACCCCUGAACUGCUUUGGAAACUGCCAUGCUAGAGUGCUGGAGAGGUAAGUGGAAUUCCUAGUGUAGCGGUGAAAUGCGUAGAUAUUAGGAGGAACACCAGUGGCGAAGGCGGCUUUCUGGACUGAAACUGACGCUGAGGCACGAAAGCGUGGGGAGCGAACAGG